rnacentral:lncRNA from 1 species
GCAUUUCACUCACGCGUGCGCCACAGGCUCUCCUUCGCGCUCGCCGCAGCUUCCGGUACCAGAGCCGAGCGCCGGAAGCGCAGGGUGUCGCGACUGGCUGUGGAGUGCGCUGCYGUCCAGCCUGUGGAGAACCCAAGUGAGACCCGUAGAGCCGCAGGCCUUAGAGACGCGAGGUUUACUGCUGGUGUCCACUCCACGGAAAAAGCACAGGGAAGAAAUCAUCACCUUGAUUCAGGAAAAUCUCUUAGACCUCCCCGGCUGACGGCAGAAGUUUCUCACAGCAGAAGGUGCUGAGAAGCCGAUUGGGUAUCUGAGAGAGGAGUCAUCAACAUGGAUCCAAAACCUGAACACGAACCCGAAUCCAAAAGACUGAAGAUCACACCAUCAAUAAUGGUACCGACACAAGAGCUACCUUUAAACAUUCAGCCAAGCAAAGGAGGCAAGAAAAAGGAAGGAGCAACAAAAAGCACACUACGUGUAAAUCCCCCGACGUGGAGUCAGAUCCAGAACUUGGCAAGCAAAGCUCAGGGAGUGAUUGAGAAGCAGGGGGUCCCUGAGACACCAGCUACCAUGUUUAUGGCAAUGCUGGCUGUUCUAAGUUGUCAGUCAAAUGCAGUCUCGCCAAAUCCCAGUUCCAAUACCUCCAAGUAGACAUGCAUCGAUUGCAGUUAAAAAAUAAGAAAGGUGGAGAUGUGGAGAGCAGAUGAGCCCCUGGUUGAUGUCGGCUGAUCCUGUGGUGUUGGCAGAAGUCAAGUCUGGGAAACAUUCCUUGCCAAAAAGGCAAGGAUGCAGCAGGAUGUUCCAAGCAUUGCAACAGUAGGGUAACUGCAGAAAUAGUUCUACUUCUGUAACUUUUUAGUGUGCAGAGAAGACUCUUGGUAACUCACAAGACUUGAACAAUUUACAUUGCCCCUCUAGUUAAACUUCCUAAUUAUGAGACCCUUUAUAAUAAACUUGCAAAGCUAGUUCUGGGUCA